rnacentral:rRNA from 1 species
CGGCCGCGGUAUCCUGACCGUGCAAAGGUAGCAUAAUCAUUUGUUCCUUAAUUAGGGACUUGUAUGAAUGGCCCCACGAGGGUUUGACUGUCUCUUACUUUUAAUCAGUGRAAWUGACCUUCCCGUGAAGAGGCGGGAAUACAUAAAUAAGACGAGAAGACCCUAUGGAGCUUAAAUUAAUUUGUUCUGAACAACAAAUUUUGGUUGGGGUGACCUCGGAGUACAAAAGAACCUCCGAACUAAGACAUACUAGUCAAGGCCAAUCAUAUUGAUCAACGGAACAAGUUACCCUAGGGAUAACAGCGCAAUCCUAUUUGAGAGUUCAUAUCGACAAUAGGGUUUACGACCUCGAUGUUGGAUCAGGACACCCAAAUGGUGCAGCAGCU